rnacentral:miRNA from 1 species
CAACAGAAAUUUAUUUUCUCACAAUUCUGGAGGCUGGAAGUCCAAGAUCAAGGUGUUGGCAGGUUUGGUUUAUUCUAAGGCCUUCCUCCUUGGCUUGCAGAUGGCUGUCUUCUCCCUAUAUCUUCACGUGG